AUGAACGCUGGCGGCGUGCUUAACACAUGCAAGUCGAACGGUGAAGCCCAGCUUGCUGGGUGGAUCAGUGGCGAACGGGUGAGUAACACGUGAGCAACCUGCCCCUGACUCUGGGAUAAGCGCUGGAAACGGCGUCUAAUACUGGAUACGAGUAGCGACCGCAUGGUCAGCUACUGGAAAGAUUUAUUGGUUGGGGAUGGGCUCGCGGCCUAUCAGCUUGUUGGUGAGGUAAUGGCUCACCAAGGCGUCGACGGGUAGCCG
rnacentral:rRNA from 1 species